rnacentral:tRNA from 1 species
GGGUGGUGUGGCGGAAUGGUAAACGCGGCUCGCAAGGGCAUAUCGGACGCGAUAUGUCUGAACGGGCUGGUGCCGUAUGGUACCUUGAGGGUUCAAGUCCCUCCACCCCCC